rnacentral:piRNA from 1 species
UNGCAUAUGGCCAGAACUUUGAGGAUGUA